UACCAAACCACUUCACCGUGAGAUAAAAGUAGAUUAAAAUACCACCACAAACAUUAUUCAAAAAUCACAUUUUUUAUUUUCUUACAAGAAUUCAGUUAAUAAAACAUCUAAUCCCAAAGUGAUUGGAAAGCAACACUUCACAAAACAAGACCAAAGUACACACCUUACAAAUUAUCUAAGCAAUACCAGUAAUAAACAAGGUUAUCAUUUUGUGCAAAAUUAUAUUAAAUUUGGCUCCAUGCUCCCGAGUGGUGUGACGUGGUUUAAAGUGACUGCGCUGCAUGCCAAUAAGAAGUCAGUAGUGGUUUCUAAGAUAGCUGCGCCGCCUUGUGGUACAUCGUGGUAUUACAUGAAUGCUGCGCCACCCUGUGGUACAUCGUAGUAUUACAUCUAACCUACCAGUGGGCAUUUCUCCAUUCCACUCAGUCAGUCAGUAAUCUCACAUUCCUUCUGUAUAAGUGGAUACUCACACAGUACACAAUACAAAUCGACGUAUGAAAAUAGUGUGCGACCAGUGUCAUCUACCUAUGAAAACAAUCCUACCAUUUAAAAAGAAGUGUGUUAUAUCAAAAACAUAGGAUACCAUAGUGCAUCAGAUUGUACAAGAUUUGCAUCCAUCAUUGUGUUCGUCCAGAACUCUCUGCCAGAAGCAAAGGAAUUACCCCACAGUAUACAGCACAGUGAAAAACACAUGUUUAAAGUCAGUCAGACAUUUAGAUUGGAGUUGGUGAUUAGAAACAAGCAGUCCACAGACGUCAUCAUAUGGCUAUAGAUGGUUAAACAUGCAGAAGAGAAAGGCAAGUCUUAUUGUACCUAACACACUGUGCAGUUGUUCCUCUUUAAAAGGUCUCAGUCAGUUGUUCCUCUUUAAAAGGUCUCAGUCAGUUGUUCCUCUUUAAAAGGUCUCAGUCAGUUGUUCCUCUUUAAAAGGUCUCAGUCAGUUGCUCCUCUUUAAAAGGUCUCAGUCAGUUGUUCCUCUUUAAAAGGUCUCAGUCAGUUGCUCCUCUUUAAAAGGUCUCAGUCAGUUGUUCCUCUUUAAAAGGUCUCAGUCAGUUGUUCCUCUUUAAAGAUCUCGGUCAGUUGCUCCUCUUUAAAAGGUCUCAGUCAGUUGCUCCUCUUUAAAAGGUCUCAGUCAGCUGUUCCUCUUUAAAAGGUCUCAGUCAGUUGUUCCUCUUUAAAAGGUCUCAGUCAGUUGUUCCUCUUUAAAAGGUCUCAGUCAGUUGUUCCUCUUUAAAAGGUCUCAGUCAGUUGUUCCUCUUUAAAAGGUCUCAGUCAGUUGUUCCUCUUUAAAAGGUCUCAGUCAGUUGCUCCUCUUUAAAAGGUCUCAGUCAGUUGUUCCUCUUUAAAAGGUCUCAGUCAGUUGCUCCUCUUUAAAAGGUCUCAGUCAGUUGUUCCUCUUUAAAAGGUCUCAGUCAGUUGCUCCUCUUUAAAGAUCUCGGUCAGUUGCUCCUCUUUAAAGGUCUCAGUCAGUUGCUCCUCUUUAAAAGGUCUCAGUCAGUUGUUCCUCUUUAAAAGGUCUCAGUCAGUUGUUCCUCUUUAAAAGGUCUCAGUCAGUUGUUCCUCUUUAAAAGGUCUCAGUCAGUUGCUCCUCUUUAAAAGGUCUCAGUCAGUACACUUAUCAGUGGUGGCUGGUGCCACCUUGAAUCUGAGGAGGGACUCAUAGUAAUGGCUGGAAUGAAUAGACAGGCAUCAAACACAUCUAGACUUGGUUUCUUCCCAGUGUUUGACUCCGUUCCAUCUAUUCCAUUCCAGCCAUUAUUAUGAGCCGUCCUCCCUUGACCAGCCUCCAAUGACUCUCUUGUACAUAGGGAGGCUAUCACUUUGUGUUUGCUGUUUGCUUAAAGGGAUAGUUCAUCCAAAUUACACUAUAACCUUUAAAUUCAGAGGGUUCCUGAGUUGUUGGAAUAGAGAUAUUGCUGCUUAAGGUUCUUUAUUCCUUAGCCCUCUGAUAUCUCUCUACUGUUCUAGAGCCCUCUGAUAGCUCUCUACUGUUCUAGAGCCCUCUGAUAUCCCGCUACUGUUCUAGAGUCCUCUGAUAUCUCGCUACAGUUCUAGAGCCCUCUGAUAUCUCGCUACUGUUCUAGAGCCCUCUGAUAUCUCGCUACUGUUCUAGAGCCCUCUGAUAUCUCGCUGCUGUUCUAGAGCCCUCUGAUAUCUCUCUACUGUUCUAGAGCCCUCUACUGUUCUAGAGCCCUCUGAUAUCUCACUACUGUUCUAGAGCCCUCUGAUAUCCCUCUACUGUUCUAGAGCCCUCUGAUAUCUCGCUACUGUUCUAGAGCCCUCUGAUAUCCCUCUACUGUUCUAGAGCCCUCUGAUAUCUCGCUACUGUUCUAGAGCCCUCUGAUAUCCCUCUACUGUUCUAGAGCCCUCUGAUAUCUCUCUACUGUUCUAGAGCCCUCUGAUAUCCCUCUACUGUUCUAGAGCCCUCUGAUAUCCCUCUACUGUUCUAGAGCCCUCUGAUAUCUCUCUACUGUUGUAGAGCCCUCUGAUAUCUCUCUACUGUUCUAGAGCCUUCUGAUAUCUUGCUACUGUUGUAGAGCCCUCUGAUAUCUCUCUACUGUUCUAGAGCCCUCUGAUAUCUCUCUACUGUUCUAGAGCCUUCUGAUAUCUCGCUACUGUUCUAGAGCCCCCUGAUGUCUCUCUACUGUUCUAGAGCCCUCUGAUAUCUCUCUACUGUUCUAGUGCCCUCUGAUGUCUCUCUACUGUUCUAGAGCCCUCUGAUAUCUCUCUACUGUUCUAGAGCCCUCUGAUAUCCUCUCUACUGUUCUAGAGCCCUCUGAUAUCCCUCUACUGUUCUAGAGCCCUCUGAUAUCUCUCUACUGUUGUAGAGCCCUCUGAUAUCUCUCUACUGUUCUAGAGCCUUCUGAUAUCUUGCUACUGUUGUAGAGCCCUCUGAUAUCCCUCUACUGUUCUAGAGCCCUCUGAUAUCUCUCUACUGUUGUAGAGCCCUCUGAUAUCGCUCUACUGUUCUAGAGCCUUCUGAUAUCUCGCUACUGUUCUAGAGCCCUCUGAUGUCUCUCUACUGUUCUAGUGCCCUCUGAUGUCUCUCUACUGUUCUAGAGCCCUCUGAUAUCUCUCUACUGUUCUAGAGCCCUCUGAUAUCUAUACUGUUCUAGAGCCAUCUGAUGUCCCUCUACUGUUAUAGAGCCCUCUGAUAUCUCUCUACUGUUGUAGAGCCCUCUGAUAUCUCUCUACUGUUGUAGAGCCCUCUGAUAUCUCUCUACUGUUCUAGAGCCCUCUGAUAUCUCUCUACUGUUCUAGAGCCUUCUGAUAUCUCUCUACUGUUCUAGAGCCCUCUGAUAUCUCUCUACUGUUCUAGAGCCCUCUGAUAUCUAUACUGUUCUAGAGCCAUCUGAUGUCCCUCUACUGUUCUAGAGCCCUCUGAUAUCUCUCUACUGUUGUAGAGCCCUCUGAUAUCUCUCUACUGUUCUAGAGCCCUCUGAUAUCCCUCUACUGUUCUAGAGCCAUCUGAUGUCUCUCUACUGUUCUAGAGCCCUCUGAUAUCUCUCUACUGUUCUAGAGCCCUCUGAUAUCCCUCUACUGUUCUAGAGCCAUCUGAUGUCCCUCUACUGUUCUAGAGCCCUCUGAUAUCUCUCUACUGUUCUAGAGCCCUCUGAUAUCUAUACUGUUCUAGAGCCAUCUGAUGUCCCUCUACUGUUCUAGAGCCCUCUGAUAUCUCUCUACUGUUCUAGAGCCCUCUGAUAUCUCUCUACUGUUCUAGAGCCCUCUGAUAUCUC
ensembl:lncRNA